CACGUAGGGUGCAAGCGUUGUCCGGAAUCAUUGGGCGUAAAGAGCUCGUAGGCGGCUUAGUAAGUCGGGUGUGAAACCUCCAGGCUCAACCUGGAGACGCCACCCGAUACUGCUAUAGCUAGAGUCCAGUAGGGGAGUGCGGAAUUCCCGGUGUAGCGGUGAAAUGCGCAGAUAUCGGGAGGAACACCAGCGGCGAAGGCGGCACUCUGGGCUGGUACUGACGCUCAGGAGCGAAAGCGUGGGGAGCAAACGGG
rnacentral:rRNA from 1 species